GAAAGACGGCGAUGCAGAUCGUCUGUGAAGGAGGAGGCCUGUCUGAUGGAGCCGUUCAUCCAUCACCGCUCGUUUUCCAUCAGAACCAGUAGAUCCAGAGAUGUGGGUGUAAACGACAUCGGAGGAGACGUCAGCGAUGGACCUGUAAGGGAGACCAGGACCAGAACCCAGACCCCAGACCAGACCCUCCCACAAAACCCAAAAUGACCCCUCUGCCGCAAACUGUAACUGCAAUAAACCACACAAACUUCA